CUCCCUCUGCCUGGAUGCUCCAUUCCAGAUUAUUUCUUGAUUGCAACUCUCACAGCCCGUCUGUGGAUAAGCCUUCCCUGAUCACCGCAUCCCCUCUCCCCAGUAACUCUGGAUUUCAGAAUUCAGCUUUCUUUCCUUUAGAGCCUUUAUCACCACCUGAAAUGAUCUCCUUUACCUGUUUGUCUAUUAUCUAUCUACCCCCUAGAACUAAGCUCCAUGCUCACCUAUAAUUCUCCAGGACCCUGCACACGGGCGUGUGCCUGCUAAAUCUCUUCAGUCGUGUCCGACUCUUUGUGACUUCAUGGACUGUAGCUGGACAGGCUCCUCUGUCCAUGGGAUGCACCAGGCUGGGGCUCUCCAAGAAAAGGUCCAAGACCAGAGGCUGGCCGCCUUCCUAACAGGCGACAUGAAACAGUCCUGGAUUUGGUGAGAUUGGCAUCCGCCUAUGCCAAUUUGUAGAUACUUCUGGAAAUGCCCUUUGCCCAGGAGGCACUUGGCGAAAACUCUUGCUUACUGUGUGGCCAGCCGGCCGUAGGAGAGGUUGAAAGGUGAGCGGAGCUGGGAAGGCAGUGAGUGACCCCGGGGAGAGGCAGCGAGGAGGCCCCAGCAGGAAGGGCGGUUCGAGGCCUUUCCUGGAUGGUGCAUGAGGUGAACCUGCUCCCCACCUGCUCGUCCCACUCUAGCUCGCGCCUUGCCAAGCUUCUGGGUGAGGCCGUGUGCUCUGGCACAACCCAUGUUUCCCUUUCCAAACCUUAAGCCCGGUGCUGUUCCCACAGCCCAGCUCGGCAGGCUUGCGCUGCGGAACCAGAGGAGGCAGCCUGAGUGGCCGGGCAGGCACGGUGCUGUGGGGCCCCUGGCCUGACCACCCAACAGGUCAGAGCCGGUAAAGCAGGGCAGGAACCGAGAGGGGGGACUGAGAGGCACCCACCCAUCCCCGCAAGGCCGAGGAGCUGCACAAACCUGCUAUUGGUGACGUUUUUUUUGAGAACGCUGGAGAAAUCUGAAUGCCGACUAAGUGUUACAACAGGUGAAACUUGCCUGACCUGGAAAGCUGGAUUGUUAACUGAAAAAAAGUUUAAAAAGGCAUAUAUGGUGUGAUCUCAUUUUGGACAAAAUAAUAAUGAAUACGUACCGUAGGUGUUAAUAGUGAUAUCGAUUGGGUGCUAAAAAUCUUUUCCCCCUUAUUUUUUCUUAUUUUUGUGGCUCUGUGUUUUCUCACUUAAGUUUUUUUGGUCAUUGUCUUCAACUGCUACGAUGAACAUACACCUCUUUUGUUAUAUUAAAAGGUUGUUUUUAACUAAAAAACAUUUGCUAAAAAUUGC
ensembl:lncRNA